UAAGCAUAUCAAAAGCCGGAGGGAAAGG
rnacentral:rRNA from 1 species